ACCUGUACCUCUUGUGGGAGACAAACUCAAGUGCUCUGUGUCCUUCCCCACAGAGGACUAACCUGGAAACUCACCAUGAAAUUUAGGCUGAACUGGAUUUUCCUUCUGACCAUUUUCCAAGGUGUCCAGUGUGAUGUGGAGCUGGUGGAGUCUGGGGGAGAUGUGAUACAGCCUGGGGGAUCUCUGAGCCUCUCCUGCAAAGCUUCUGGAUUUACUUUCAG